rnacentral:lncRNA from 1 species
UGGUUGUUGGAGACGUGACUGCAGUCGCCUGGCCACGCUGUCAGCAGAGGCAAGAAGAAACCAAAUUGCAAAAGAAAUUCCCGGACUUCGCAGCCCCCCAUGGUUCUCCUAGGCUCUCUUUUCCUCUCCCUUAAAGAGAAGUGGCGGCAGCGCAGGCAGGUGUUCUGGGUAGGAUGGGGGUCCUUGUCCACGUCUUCUUCCUCCUCCUCCUCUUCCUCCUCCACCCGGCCCGCAGGGGGUGUCCCGGGGCGCCCCCUGCGCGAGGUCCCGGGAACAGGGCACGAGGGUCCAGGCUGCCCAGUUGCAGGUGCAGCUGCUUCGGAGGAGGACGCUGCCUGCGGCGCCGGGGAGCUCCUCGCGGCUGGAGGCGAGGGGAAUUGCAUCCACCACAGUGUCCCGCUUGCGCGAGGACUAUUCACUUGGGCCGGAGAGAGCGCGCGCGCGCAAGAGCGAGCUCGGGCUGUGGUUUGGGGGAGGGGAGCGAGGGGGCGGGGAGCGCCUCACCGCGAGGACGGGGGCGGGGACGGACUGCCAGGUGGGGCGGGCAGUUGGGGCGGCCCGAGGACCUCUCCCGACUCAAGUGGGCACUUGCGGAGCCAAAAGCAGGGGAGGCGCUGCAGCUGUGAAGAGGCGUGGGGGCCGCGGGAACUUUCCUCUGGCCGGUGCGAUGAAAGCCGGGCGGACGAGGUGGCUCAACGGGGCUGAGAGUGGUUCGGCCGAGGCGCGGGCUGAGCCCUCAGCACCUGGCCUGAGCGGCGUGGGCAGCAGCCUGCACCGCGGACACCUCCAACUCUGCCGCGUCUGCGCCGCACUCUGGCCGUGGCAGCGAUUUUCCGGGCAUCUCUGAGGCCGCCCUUAGUCCCACAAGCACUUAGCCGCCCAUUUCAGAGCAGCGGCGCCGACCGUUUUAAGAGGAGUCAGUUCCCGACACCGCCUCCCACUUACUUCUCCACAUUUCCACCGCUGGAGGGGGGACUUCGGCUAUCACAGUCGAGGGAGGUUGAAAACCCCACUUCAAAACCCGUCGGAAUGUUUUGAGAAAAUGUGGAUGGUAAUGGAGAAAUGUGAACAGAGGAGAGAAAGUAGCGGUCUUGUAAAGGAUAUACGAUAUUUUCCAAGUGGGCAGAAAGCACAGGAGGGAAAUGGCACAGUGACAAGAGGUCAGGGGAGCGGGAGAUGGAGCCAAGGGUCGGCGUUUGACGCUUACAGAGUUCUGGAAGGGAAAGGACCCUUCUAUUCCAUGCAUUCCUGCGCUGCGAUGUUUUUGUGCCACACACCAUAGCUGAAGAAGUUUCACUUAAUGCCUUACAGUAAAUUGGAAGGAAAGAAAGAAUGAGAGCAAGAAAUGUCCCAUGUCAAAAAUUCUGCUGCGUGGAGAGAAAUGGUGAAAUACAAGCGAUUUGGAGAAUGUGAGGAAGGGUUCUGAUUGGUGACUAUACUCUCAUUCUCAUUAGGAAUUCAUACACCUCUGCCUCUCUUUGAAGGUGUGUCCACACCAACUUAAAUGUAUGCAAAUCAUUUCUAAAAAGAUACCAUGUGUGGAGUUUAUAUAUCGG